rfam:Methylococcaceae bacterium Sn10-6 c285, whole genome shotgun sequence.
GGGCAGGAUAUGUGAAGUUAUAUAACUUCACUUUUUUAUUCGCACGGAGCGCUCAACAAAAAUCCUGCUCUGCGAGGCU